rnacentral:rRNA from 1 species
GACGAACGCUGGCGGCGUGCUUAACACAUGCAAGUCGAACGGAAAGGCCCUGCUUUUGUGGGGUGCUCGAGUGGCGAACGGGUGAGUAACACGUGAGUAACCUGCCCUUGACUUUGGGAUAACUUCAGGAAACUGGGGCUAAUACCGGAUAGGAGCUCCUGCUGCAUGGUGGGGGUUGGAGAGUUUCGGCGGUUGGGGAUGGACUCGCGGCGUAUCAGCUUGUUGGUGGGGUAGUGGCUUACCAAGGCCUUGACGGGUAGCCGGCCUGAGAGGGUGACCGGCCACAUUGGGACUGAGAUACGGCCCAGACUCCUACGGGAGGCAGCAGUGGGGAAUAUUGCACAAUGGGCGGAAGCCUGAUGCAGCAACGCCGCGUGCGGGAUGACGGCCUUCGGGUUGUAAACCGCUUUCGCCUGUGACGAAGCGUGAGUGACGGUAAUUGGUAAAGAAGCACCGGCUAACUACGUG